rnacentral:lncRNA from 1 species
ACUAAACAUGGGAGUGUAUUAUGUAGAGAGCCUGUUUUGGGCCUGAGGCCCAAUGCUUCAAAGAGGUUAACAUCAACAUUCACCACACAAGCUGAAAUAGGGAGAAGAAAAAAGCGAUUAUGAAAAAACAGUCAAAAUCAAUAACCUUCACCUCAGCAUCUUCAUCGCGCCUCAUCACUUCGCCGUUCUCAGAUGCUAACGCAAUCCUGAUUCGCCAUCAUCGCAAGCCAGCACCUCCGUUACGGAUGUGCUCCCUUCACGCCGGCGCUCAUCAACGACACACUCUCCGAUUCACAGAUA